CUAUGGUUUUAACAAACCAUGGCGGAAGGAG
rnacentral:ncRNA from 1 species